GAUCAAGGGGGCACAAUGAAGUCUGUUGUCCAAUACUUCCGUGGAAGACAUAUGGCUUUGCUAUCCAGCAUACCUACCUCUUAUCUCUGGAAGUCCGCAAUCAAAAGCGUCUAAUUUUCCCCCCAUGGAGGUCUGCAAAAUAGUGGAAGGGACAAAGAUACUCCAAGAGACUGACCUGGAGUCAGAUAAGAGCUCUUUUAGAGAGGACAUGCCAGCACCCACAUGAUCGGUAGCGUGACCUACUUCAAAUGGUGAAUCACAAGUCUUAUCACGAUGAUCCUUACACAAAAGAGUUUGGCAUCAACAUCAGUGAGCGGCGUGCAUAGCUUGAGGCAUGGGUUUUACCUGCUCUUUGGCUUAAGUACAACACGGCCGGUAGAGAGAAGGAUUACCUGCCUAGUGUUGGCCAGUGGAACAUGAUGAACAAAAAAUGGUCAAUGGUGGUAAAGUCAGGAGCUGGAUGUACAAGACAGUGUUGGGAUUCUGUCGUGAACUCGCUCGCAUGUGGCAGGUCUCAGGAAUGG